GUCAGACAACAUGAAAGCCCUUCGUCACACUUUAUUUUUAAAUCAAUUUUAGGCUCGACUGGGAGUUUCCACGUAGCUAUGUAAGCGUGCCUCAGUUGUCCCUGGCCCUCACAAGACACACCGUCUCACACAGGACUGUACCCGAGUGGUCUCAGAAAGAAACACAGAUGCUGUACCUAUUGGGGACUGUCUUUGGAAUCAUCUGCAUCAUAGUAUGCAUUUCCAAAGGACUGAAAGAGAAGGAUAAGCAAGGAAAUGGCUGUCAACCUCCUUUACAAAAACAACUGGUCUACAAUAAAAGGAUUCUGACUGAACAGGACCUGUUACUUCUGGCCAGGAUCCUGACCAUUGGACUGGUAGACGCAGACCCUACCACCUUGCAGCACCUAAGGGAAUACAGAGACCUUAGAGGAAGCACCACGUGAAGUGGUGACACUGACACAUGUGCUUAUGUGUCAAAGACCAGAUAUUCCACUGAGACUCUUGUUGUCUUUGUGAGUCGUGACACUGGUAAAUGAGUAUCUUUUGGGACUGUUUUGACUGAAGGAACCAUGACCUUCAAGAGGAUUAGUACUGGACUUGACAUUUGUCACCUUUUGGUAGGCCUACAAGGUUGUCAAGGCUUUUGUUUUCCUGCUUGCUAGUAUCAACAGGUAGGAGAUUCCUCCAUGGAUAAUCUAAUCUAGGCUACAGUAUGUGAGAAUGCCUGCUGCUGCUGCUGCUGCUGCUGGCCGGUGCUCUUCUUCUGUGCUUUUGGGUUUUAAGGUGAACGGACCUGACCAAGCCGACAGCUGCUCAGUAUAGCAGAGUCUGAUAAUCAGACAGUACUGAGUUUUAUUCAGUAGGAAAUUAUAAGUGGAUUGGUUCUUUUCUUAGUUGCGGCUUUGCUAUAAUGUUGGUGAUUAAUGGUGAUAAGAGCAGUGCUUAUAGUUUCUGCUGUAUGUGAGUGUGUAUGUGUGUGCGUGCAUGUGUGUGUUUUGCACAAGAUAGUCCUAUAGGUCUCUAUGGCAACGGGAACUUCCAGCUGUGCAGUUGUGUCACAGUGCCGGUCAUUAGAGAUAAACUGCUACGCCACAUCAUGUUCGCAAUGUAGUGUUAUGUUAUAAUGCACAGACAUUUUACUCUUGUAUAUUAUUGACAGAAGUUGUAUUCAUGUUGACCACAAGGCAACAUAACUGAAGUUGUAUAUUUGAGCCUGUACAUAUAUUUUGUAAGUUUGUUUUCUUUUUUUAAUUUAUUUGUAGAAAAAACAACCUUAAUGUGGUUCUGUGUUGUAUUUGUAUUUUAAAGUGUUGAUCGUUGAUAUCAGUUAAAUCACAACUGGUCCUAUACUAUUUUAAGAUGUUGCCGUUAAGAUGGAUUGUCUUUGUAUCAUUAGCUUUGUGAAGAUCUUUCUGCAUAUGGAUGUCAAUAAGAAGUCUCACUGUGUCCAAAACAGUAAGUGGUGAAAGCUAAUAUGCUACUGAUGUUGACCUAUUGAUGAAUAUGAAUGCUUUCAUUUGAGAGGUGAUUCGACUGCUCGAACUAGCUUUUAUACGUGGAUGGAGCGCACAUACAUACUAAUGGCAAAUUUGCAGGGUACUACCUGAUACAGUAUUACAUAACAUGAUUUCUAAA